rnacentral:rRNA from 1 species
UACGUAGGUGGCAAGCGUUGUCCGGAAUUACUGGGCGUAAAGGGUUUGUAGGUGGCCUGCUAAGUCAGACGUGAAAUCCCUCAGCUUAACUGGGGAACUGCGUCUGAUACUGGCGGGCUUGAGGACAGGAGAGGAACGCGGAAUUCCAGGUGUAGCGGUGAAAUGCGUAGAUAUCUGGAGGAACACCGGUGGCGAAGGCGGCUUUCUGGACAAAUACCGACGCUGAGGCACGAAAGCUAGGGGAGCAAACAGG